CCGGUAAACGGCGGCCGUAACUAUAACGGUCCUAAGGUAGCGAAAUUCCUUGUCGGGUAAGUUCCGACCUGCACGAAUGGCGUAAUGAUGGCCAGGCUGUCUCCACCCGAGACUCAGUGAAAUUGAACUCGCUGUGAAGAUGCAGUGUACCCGCGGCAAGACGGAAAGACCCCGUGAACCUUUACUAUAGCUUGACACUGAACAUUGAGCCUUGAUGUGUAGGAUAGGUGGGAGGCUUUGAAGUGUGGACGC
rnacentral:rRNA from 1 species